GAUGAACGCUGGCGGCGUGCCUAACACAUGCAAGUCGAACGGAGUCGUUUUGGAAAUCUCUUCGGAGAUGGAAUUCUCGACUUAGUGGCGGACGGGUGAGUAACGCGUGAGCAAUCUGCCUUUAAGAGGGGGAUAACAGUCGGAAACGGCUGCUAAUACCGCAUAAAGCAUUAAAUUCGCAUGUUUUUGAUGCCAAAGGAGCAAUCCGCUUUUAGAUGAGCUCGCGUCUGAUUAGCUAGUUGGCGGGGUAACGGCCCACCAAGGCGACGAUCAGUAGCCGGACUGAGAGGUUGAACGGCCACAUUGGGACUGAGACACGGCCCAGACUCCUACGGGAGGCAGCAGUGGGGAAUAUUGCGCAAUGGGGGAAACCCUGACGCAACAACGCCGCGUGAUUGAAGAAGGCCUUCGGGUUGUAAAGAUCUUUAAUCAGGGACGAAACAAAUGACGGUACCUGAAGAAUAAGCUCCGGCUAACUACGUG
rnacentral:rRNA from 1 species